CUCCCGCGCGCGCCACGUCGCCGUCGUCUUCCUCCCCCCCAACCCACCACUAUUUACCCCAGCGCCUCGUCGCCCCUCCCCUCAUCACAACUUGCCCCCCACCUUUCCCGUCCCGUCCUCUCGCUCGCCGCCGCGCGCGCCCGCGCGCUAGGGUUAGGGUUUCGUCGCAUCCCGGCCGCUCCGCUUCUCCCCGCGUGGGGCUCGUUCCGGUGGGAGGCAGGCCAUGGCGAUCGUGAGGACUGGAGCCGGCGUCCGGCUCCCUAGGCUUGACGGCGGCGAGGAGGCCUCGCCUGAUGCCACGGAGGACGAUGAGGAGGAGGAAUCGCAGUCGCGGGCCACGCCGUCGCAGGAGUCUGAGGCCGACGGCUUCUCCGCCGGCGGCGAGGACGACGACGAGGACAACGGUGGCGGCGGCGGAGGCGAGGAGCCGGAGGAGGUGGAGGAGGAGGAAGAGGAGGAUGAGCUCGAGGAAGAGGAAGAGGACGAGGGGGACUCGGGGAUGGGCUCCGACGAGCUGGACGUCGCGGAGCUUGGCGAGCCCGGCGCCGAGAUGUGCCAGGUCGGGGACCAGAGUGUGGCCGUGCCGCUGGAGCUCUACGACCUCGCCGGCCUUGGCGACGUGCUCUCGCUCGAUGCCUGGAACACCCUGCUCAGCGAGGACGAGCGGCUGCGCCUCGCCGCCUUGCUGCCCGACAUGGACCAGGAGACCUUUGCGCGCACGCUCGUCGAGCUCCUCGCGGGGCAGAACUUCCACUUUGGGAGCCCCCUUGCCGCCCUCUUUGAGCGCCUCAAGGGUGGGCUCUGCGACCCGAGGGUCAAUCUGUACCGCCGCGGCACCCGCUUCGCGGAGCGGCGCAAGCAUUACUACUGGCUGCAGAGCUACCACAACUCCAUGGUGCGCGGGCUCCGGGAGAUCAAGAAUUGCUGGAAGGGCCGCGAGGGAUACAGCCUUGAUGAGAGGCUGAGGAUGUUGGACACAAUGAAGGCACAGCAGCAGCAGCAGCAGCAGAGAAAAGCUCUAGAUUCGGCGAGACGGGCUGGAUCAGAGACUGAUUCCGAGAGCAGGGGGUCUGGGGAACAGGUCUUAGCUCGGUUCAAGCAUGAUAAGAGUGGACAGAAGAAGGCAGGGAAGUUAGUGAAAGAGAAGUCGAAGGGGCUGCUGCGAGUGGGCACACCCAAAGGAGUGGAUGAGGAGUACAUGGGGGGGUCUGGCCACGAUGCUGUGGUGGCACUCUCUGAGCUUUCUCGUCAAGAUAAUAAUGCAUAUGGGUAUGAUUCGGGCGUGCAUAGAGGGAAACAUCACAGGAGCAUAGACGGCCUUUACUCGGAUGACCUAGGAUAUGAAAGGGAUUCGUCAAGAUCUCGGUUUCCGAGGCUGCUGCCCAAGCCAGUGAAGAAGAAGGAAGUGACUACGAGCUAUGAUGGCAAUCUGUAUGGAAAUAACUACAGUGAUAACCAUACUGCCUCUCCUUACUACUAUGGCAGGAAUCCCAGUGCUAAUCAGGGAGUCACCUUAGCAGCAGCAUAUGAUCCUCCAUAUUUUGACACAAGAAGGAAUGCAAGGUACUCAGAGAGAGACUGGGUACAAGGUGGAAAAGGUGUGCACACUAAUAAAGCUCAAAUGGGUGAUGAGAUGAACUGGCCAUCUGGUACCCACACUGGUAACUUAGAUGACUGGCAGAUGGGGCAGUCUGCGGGUGAUUACAGGAGCAGGAAAGAUCAAGCUGGUUAUGGCCUGAAGGUUAAGUCGUAUAAAAGUAUUGAGCAACAGGUUAAUGAUGCCCGUGUUGGUUCUGACCCUAGAAGCAAGAUAUCACAGGCGAAGAUGGCAGGUAAAUCCAGUACACAACUAGAUAGGACUGGCCAGAAGCACUCCAGGAGCAAUGCUGUCUAUGCUCAAAGUGAGGAGACAGAAUCUGAUUCAUCGGAAAAGUUUGAAGAUGGCGGCGAAGUGCAUUAUCUCGAACGGAAGACAGAGCGUCACCAUUCUGGGUAUCAUAAACCAGCACAUGGUGCCAAAAAGUCAAACAAGCUUCCUAAAGUGGCAAAAAUGAACUAUCCUACUGCUGAUGCAGAUUUAGAACCCUCCCAGAGCAAAGGGUUCAAAGGGAAGGUUUCAGAGACUGGUUAUUUACGUGAUGUGGAUGUGAUGAUGACAGAACAGAUUAGUGAUGUCAUAAAACCUCCUGCAGCAAGUGGUGAAAGGAAACGGAAAGGGGUGGCAAAUCUGGACAUGCAUGUUUAUGAUAACUCCGAUCUGCAUGAAGUCAAUGAAAAUGCAAAUGACUCAUCCAGGUUGGUGGAGAAUGAAAAGCUUGCUAGUAGAUCAGGUUAUGCAGUCCAAGAUUCUAAUGGUGAUCAUGGUGGUACUGAAAGAAUCAGCUCUAGCUCCAAAAAAGCAAAAGGAAGAGUCGAAGUUCCUAGCCUGGAUGAGCAUGGUGAGCAUUUGUCAUCUGGCCCAAAGGUUGUUGAGAACAUUGGUGGAUCCAAGAAGAAAAGCAAAAAGAAGCCAGAGAGCAGCACCACAGAUGCAGUUAUUUUAGCAGAACCAGCUGCUGCUGUACCUGAAAAUAAUGUGGUAGCUCCAGAGCCUGAGAAGCCUGAGAAGGUUGAGAAGCCCAAGAAGAAGUAUGUACCGAUAACACCAACGAUCCAUACUGGUUUUUCGUUCUCUGUUGUACAUCUAUUAACUGCCGUAAAGAAGGCUAUGGUCACUCCUACUGAGGAUACUCCAGCCACAGUGAAGCAACCAGAUGGAGAGGACAAAAAAUGGUUCAACAGUGAAGAACGCAGCAAAACGCCUCACCAAGAACAAAGUACAACAGAUCAAGCUGAACAGGUCCUUGAGGGUGCAAAUGCCAGUGCUGCAGAACAUGAGGGUGCAAAUGCCAGUGCUGCAGAGCAAACUGUACCAAUCAAUGCACCGGCGCUUACUGUUCAAGAGAUCGUCAAUCGAAUUAGAGCAAAUCCUGGAGAUCCUAGGAUACUUGAAACACAGGAGCCCCUCCAGGAUUUAGUUCGAGGAGUAUUGAAAGUACUUUCAUCUAGAACAGCUCCUCUAGGUGCAAAGGGCUGGAAAGCAUUAGUUGCCUAUGAGAAGUCAAACAAAAGUUGGUUCUGGGUUGGUCCAGCACCUUCUAUUUCAUCAUAUGAUGACCCUGAUGAAGAAACUUCUGCUGAAGCAUGGAGUAUACCGCACAAGAUGCUUGUUAAGUUGGUUGAUGCAUUUUCUAAUUGGCUGAAAAGUGGCCAGGAAACCCUUAAGCAGAUAGGUUCCCUUCCAUCACCUCCACCACCAAAUCCUGCAAACUUGGAUUUGAAGGAAAGGUUCAAGGAGCUUAAAGCACAGAAAAGUCUGAACACAAUAAGCCCAAGCUCAGAUGAAGCAAGGGCAUAUUUCCAGCGUGAGGAAUUUUUGAGGUACUCAAUACCUGAUAGAGCAUUUUGCUAUACUGCUGCUGAUGGGGAGAAGUCUAUAGUUGCUCCCUUGAGAAGAGGAGGUGGAAAGCCAACAGCGAAAGCGAGGGGUCACCCCAUGCUCUUACCUGAUCGACCGCCACAUGUCACUAUCCUCUGUCUUGUAAGGGAUGCUGCGUCUAGGUUGCCUGCAAGAACUGGAACUAGAGCCGAUGUCUGCACACUACUCAGGGAUUCACAAUACCUAAACCAUGAAGAAGCCAAUAAAGAGGCUGCAAUUAAUCAAGUUGUCAGUGGAGCUCUGGAUCGUUUGCAUUAUGAACGUGACCCUUGUGUGCUAUAUGAUAAUGACAAAAAAUUGUGGACCUAUCUGCACAGGGGCAGGGAGGAGGAAGAUUUUGAGGAUGAUGGCACAUCAUCUACAAAGAAAUGGAAGAGACCAAGGAGGGAUAUCUCUGAUCUUGCAGAGUCAGGUGCAGCAAACGAUGAUAUUGAUGACGAUGGCACUGGCACCCCUUCAGCAUGCAAUGCAAAAAAACAAAAGACAGACCAUGGAGAUACAUUGUCAGGAGAAGCUAACGACGAGGGAAAUCAUCCUACUCAAAAUCCUUCUUCUGGUGGCCUGGAAGGUGAUCCUGAUCUUAAUGCUGUUCCAUCAUCAAAAAAUUAUGAAGAAUCAGGUGGAGUUGUUUACAUUGAUGCAACACCAGAUGAUGGUGGCUCGACUUCAAUAGAUGCAAAACCAGGCAGCAGGGCUGAUGACAGUACAGCAAGUUGGCAGUCACUCCCAGAACAGAACAAAACCAAUACGGCGCUUCCUGAGAACACCAGCAUGGAUGCCACCUCACCAUGAAUAAGAACAUAUCACGGUUCAAUCAGCUAGAAAUGUGUUGAAGGGGUCAGCAUAGGAUAGAAGACGGGCAUUCAUUUUCUUGUUGCUAUUAUACAUAUAUAUAUGCACCUGUGACACCAUAGCAGAAACUGCUGUACGAGGCUUUGACUCUGCCAAAACCAAUCUUUUGUAGUUGAGAUAGCUUGUACAUUCUUGCCAUAAUUUAAAUGGGCUCCUGUAGUUUGCCUUUUUUUUCCCCUAGUGGUGCUGCUGCUGCAGCCGUAGCAGCUGUGACACACUUCUAAUCUUAAAGUUAUUAUUAGGCAUUUUAUGUGUUAUAUGUGUGUUCACGUUUGGAUGAUGAAAUGAAAUGUCUGUCGAUAAUGGAUGAUUCCUUCCGUUUA